rnacentral:rRNA from 1 species
CUUGGUCAUUUAGAGGAAGUAAAAGUCGUAACAAGGUUUCCGUAGGUGAACCUGCGGAAGGAUCAUUAAAGAAUUGCCCCAUUUUUUGAAAUGGGUUCUAUUCCCAAACCGUGUAUACAUACCUUUGUUGCUUUGGCAAGCCGUCCUUCGGGCGCAGCUUCGGCUGAGAGCGCUUGCCAGAGGACCCCAACUCUUUUGUUUAGUGAUGUCUGAGUACUAUAUAAUAGUUAAAACUUUCAACAACGGAUCUCUCGGUUCUGGCAUCGAUGAAGAACGCAGCGAAAUGCGAUAAGUAAUGUGAAUUGCAGAAUUCAGUGAAUCAUCGAAUCUUUGAACGCACAUUGCGCCCCUUGGUAUUCCGAGGGGCAUGCCUGUUCGAGCGUCAUUAUGACCACUCAAGCCUAGCUUGGUAUUGGGGGUUCGCGGUCUCGCGGCUCUUAAAAUCAGUGGCGGUGCCAUCUGGCUCUAAGCGUAGUAAUUCUCUCGCUAUAGGGCUCCGGUAGUUGCUUGCCAAAACCCCCCUAUUUCUCACGGUUGACCUCGGAUCAGGUAGGGAUACCCGCUGAACUUAAGCAUAUCAAUAAGCGGAGGA